GUGCUUGCUUUGGCAACACAUACAUUAAAACUGGAACAAUACAGAGAACAGCAUCACCCCUGCACAAGGAUGACAUGCAAAUUCAUAGUGCUCCAUAUUUUA